GACGAACGCUGGCGGCGCGCCUAACACAUGCAAGUCGAACGGAGUUAUUCUGAAUGAAGUUUUCGGUAUGGAUUUUUGGUAUUAAACUUUAGUGGCGAACGGGUGAGUAACGCGUGAGUAACCUGCCCUGGAGUGGGGGACAACAGUUGGAAACGACUGCUAAUACCGCAUAAGCCCACGGUGCCGCAUGGCACAGCGGGAAAAGGAUUUAUUCGCUUCAGGAUGGACUCGCGUCCAAUUAGCUAGUUGGUGAGGUAACGGCCCACCCAAGGCGACGAUUGGUAGCCGGACUGAGAGGUUGAACGGCCACAUUGGGACUGAGACACGGCCCAGACUCCUACGGGAGGCAGCAGUGGGGGAUAUUGCACAAUGGGGGGAAACCCCUGAUGCAGCGACGCCGCGUGGAGGAAGAAGGUUUUCGGAUUGUAAACUCCUGUCGUUAGGGACGAUAAUGACGGUACC
rnacentral:rRNA from 1 species